AGUGCUCUAGGUCAAUCCAUGCACCAACUAGCACACGAUGGUCUUCCAACAGCUUAAUCUGCUCGUCUCUCUCAUGAACUGAUGUGCCAGCUACAAGAUAGUAUCUUCAAGCUAUCAAAAACAGUGCUUCUUAAUCACACCAGUAGCAGCUGUGGAGAUCGCCCCCAAUCCAGGGCCUCCUACCCUACUCUAAUGGUUUCUAGAUUGACA
rnacentral:lncRNA from 1 species